rnacentral:rRNA from 1 species
UACGUAGGGUGCGAGCGUUAAUCGGAAUUACUGGGCGUAAAGCGUGCGCAGGCGGUUCGUUGUGUCGGUGGUGAAAUCCCCGGGCUUAACCUGGGAAUGGCCAUGGAAACUGGCGAACUGGAGUGCGGCAGAGGGGGGUGGAAUUCCGCGUGUAGCAGUGAAAUGCGUAGAGAUGUGGAGGAACACCAGUGGCGAAGGCGGCCACCUAGCCCGCACCUGACGCUGAGGCGCGACAGCGUGGGGAGCGAACUGG